rnacentral:rRNA from 1 species
AGAUUGAACGCUGGCGGCAGGCCUAACAUAUGCAAGUCGAGCGGCAGCACGGGUACUUGUACCUGGUGGCGAGCGGCGGACGGGUGAGUAAUGCCUAGGAAUCUGCCUGGUAGUGGGGGAUAACGCUCGGAAACGGACGCUAAUACCGCAUACGUCCUACGGGAGAAAGCAGGGGACCUUCGGGCCUUGCGCUAUCAGAUGAGCCUAGGUCGGAUUAGCUAGUUGGUGAGGUAAUGGCUCACCAAGGCGACGAUCCGUAACUGGUCUGAGAGGAUGAUCAGUCACACUGGAACUGAGACACGGUCCAGACUCCGUACGGGAGGCAGCAGGUGGGAAUAGUUGGAACAAGUGGGCGAAAGCCUGAUCCAGCCAUCGCCGCGUGUGUGAAGUAAGGUCUUCGGAUUGACGAAAGCUAACGUUUUAAGGUUAGGGAGGAAGGGCUAAGUUUAACCUAAAGUACGUUAUCUUGGUUUUUAGACCGUUUACCGAGAAGAAUAAGCCGAACCGGUCUUAACUC